rnacentral:lncRNA from 1 species
UCUUCUUCUUCUUCGUUUUAUUUCUUAGGAUCAACAUUGUCAAGCAAUCACAAAAACAGCCUGAGAAUGGAGAACACAAGCAAAGGGCAGUGUCCUGGUUAGUUUUAUGUCAACUUGACACAAGCUAGAAUCAUCUGAAAGGAGGGAAUCUCAACUGAGAAAAUGCCUCCAAAAGAUCCAGCUACAGGAUAUUUUCUUAAUUAGCAAUUGAUGGGGAAGGCCCAGCCCAUUGUGGGUGGUGCCAUCCCUGGACUGGUAGUCUUGAGUUCUAUAAGAAAGCAGGCUUAGCAAGUCAUGAGGAACAAGUCAGUAAGCAGCACCCCUCCACGGACUCUGCCUCAGCUCCUGCCUCCAGGUUCCUGUCCUGGUUGAGUUCCUGUCCUGACUUCCUUCAGUGAUGGACUACAAGGUGUAAGUACGAACCAGAGAAACCCUUCUCAUCCCAAGUUGCUUUUGGCCAUGGUGUUUCAUCACAGCAAUAGAAACCUUACGACAGUCACCCAAGCGUCCCCAAGACUCCAGAGCAGCACAUACACUAGGUCCCUCUUCAUUGAAGAGCAGCUGCUCUGUCCACACUUUGUGUGUUCCCAGCUAGGGAGCACAGGGUCCUCCAGACUUCGCUGAGGAGAGUAAGCUGGUAAGCUUGGUUUCUCGGUGCUCAGGAUAGAACAGGUUCUCUUGCUUGCCAGACAAGCACCAUGCCACAGAGCCAUACCCAGGCCAGGCUUACUCCUGAGGACCAGAACCAUCUCGGUCUCCUGGCUCACACCUGCCAGUUCAUCACUGUGUUCCAGGGGAUCUGCUUCCGGAUUCCCAGCAAGCACUGGUCAAGCCACUUUGAUCUGAUGUCAGCACAACUUCCUCUGGUCUCUACUGCCAAGCUAGUUUAGAAACCGUCAAUACGCUGGUGACUUGUGCGGCCAAUCAACCCCUUGUGCCUUCUAUCCUGGCGAUUAGAGUCACGUGGAGACGUCACUGCUUCACCUGCUAGAGAGGAAAAGGUCUCUGACUCUUCACCUUUAAAAAGUGAGUUUCCAUGGUAACAAAAACCUGAUGGACAAUUCACAGUUCAAAACAAAACAACAAAAGAAAAUAAACCAGAGGCCAGGGAGUAUGCUCUUCUGAGCCAUGGGCAAGCUGCACCACCGACCAUGGGUUUGAAGAGACUGGACACAGGAAACAAUGGCGGCAUUCAGAUGGCCCGGAGAACCGCUGCCUGGGACUCUGCCUGCUGCAAACCCUUGAAAUUAACAUUUUAGUUUCUCGUUCUUCAGCCCUAUGGCAGGUGACCUUCAAGUAGGGAACAGUUGGCUGACGGUAGGCGGAGUGCGCAAUUGUUGCCACCAAGCUCGCGGCCCCUGCAAAAGCCGUUUCCGAAAUCCCAGGACGGUUAGGAAAGCGCCUCGCUUUCGGGGUGGCUUUUGCUUGCCAUGUUUAAUUACACGGCUAGGUCCAAAUGAAGGACGCAAUUUAUAGAUCCCCGCUCCUCGGGGAGGAGGGAAAACGCGAUCUAUUUGCAGCAGAUAGAUUAUUUUUCAGGCACUUUAGGAGACACCCAACCCCCCUCGGAUGCAGACUGUAAAAUAAGA